rnacentral:rRNA from 1 species
ACAGAGGGUGCAAACGUUGUUCGGAAUUACUGGGCGUAAAGCGCGUGUAGGCUGCUCGGAAAGUCGGAUGUGAAAGCCCUGGGCUCAACCUAGGAAGUGCAUUCGAAACUUCUGAGCUUGAGUAUCGGAGAGGGUCGCGGAAUUCUCGGUGUAGAGGUGAAAUGCGUAGAGAUCGGGAGGAACAUCAGUGGCGAAGGCGGCCACCUGGGUCAACACUGACGCUGAAGCACGAAAGCGUGGGGAGCAAACAGGA